rnacentral:rRNA from 1 species
UACAGAGGCCUCAAGCGUUGUUCGGAUUCAUUGGGCGUAAAGGGUGCGUAGGCGGUGAGGUAAGUUGGAUGUGAAAUCCCGGAGCUUAACUCCGGAACUGCAUUCAAUACUGCCUUGCUAGAGUGCUGGAGAGGAGAUUGGAAUUCACGGUGUAGCAGUGAAAUGCGUAGAUAUCGUGAGGAAGACCAGUGGCGAAGGCGAAUCUCUGGACAGUGACUGACGCUGAGGCACGAAGGCUAGGGGAGCAAACGGG